GACUUGACAUCUCCUGAAUUACUCUUAAUCGAGGAAGUCCCUUCGGGGACAGGAAGACAGGUGGUGCAUGGUUGUCGUCAGCUCGUGUCGUGAGAUGUUGGGUUAAGUCCCGCAACGAGCGCAACCCUUAUUGUUAGUUGCUACUAUUAAGUUAAGCACUCUAACGAGACUGCCGCGGUUAACGUGGAGGAAGGUGGGGAUGACGUCAAAUCAUCAUGCCCCUUAUGUCUAGGGCUACACACGUGCUACAAUGGCUGGUACAACGAGCAGCAAACCCGCGAGGGGGAGCAAAACUUGAAAGCCAGUCCCAGUUCGGAUUGUAGGCUGAAACUCGCCUACAUGAAGUUGGAGUUGCUAGUAAUCGCGAAUCAGCAUGUCGCGGUGAAUACGUUCCCGGGUCUUGUACACACCGCCCGUCACACCAUGAGAGCCGGUAACACCCGAAGCCCGUGAGGUAACCGUAAGGAGCCAGCGGUCGAAGGUGGGAUUGGUGAUUGGGGUGAAGUCGUAACAAGGGAGCCGUAGGAGAACCUGCGGCUGGAUCACCUCCUUUCUAGGGA
rnacentral:rRNA from 1 species